AUGCAAGUCGAACGAAGCACCUUGAUUUGAUUCUUCGGAUGAAGAUCUUGGUGACUGAGUGGCGGACGGGUGAGUAACGCGUGGGUAACCUGCCUCAUACAGGGGGAUAACAGUUAGAAAUGACUGCUAAUACCGCAUAAGACCACAGCACCGCAUGGUGCAGGGGUAAAAACUCCGGUGGUAUGAGAUGGACCCGCGUCUGAUUAGGUAGUUGGUGGGGUAACGGCCUACCAAGCCAACGAUCAGUAGCCGACCUGAGAGGGUGACCGGCCACAUUGGGACUGAGACACGGCCCAAACUCCUACGGGAGGCAGCAGUGGGGAAUAUUGCACAAUGGGGGAAACCCUGAUGCAGCGACGCCGCGUGAGCGAUGAAGUAUUUCGGUAUGUAAAGCUCUAUCAGCAGGGAAGAAAAUGACGGUACCUGACUAAGAAGCACCGGCUAAAUACGUGCCAGCAGCCGCGGUAAUACGUAUGGUGCAAGCGUUAUCCGGAUUUACUGGGUGUAAAGGGAGCGUAGACGGAGUGGCAAGUCUGAUGUGAAAACCCGGGGCUCAACCCCGGGACUGCAUUGGAAACUGUCAAUCUAGAGUACCGGAGAGGUAAGCGGAAUUCCUAGUGUAGCGGUGAAAUGCGUAGAUAUUAGGAGGAACACCAGUGGCGAAGGCGGCUUACUGGACGGUAACUGACGUUGAGGCUCGAAAGCGUGGGGAGCAAACAGGAUUAGAUACCCUGGUAGUCCACGCCGUAAACGAUGACUACUAGGUGUCGG
rnacentral:rRNA from 1 species